rnacentral:lncRNA from 1 species
AGGUGUGGAAUCUACGGCUUUGCAGGGAAAGGAAAAGGAUCAAAUAGAGGUUGUUGGAGAUGGGAUUGAUGCAGUGAAGCUUGCAACUUUGCUCAGAAAAAAUGUUGGCUAUGCAGAGCUUGUGACCGUGAGCCCAGUUGGUGAGAAGAAAGAUGGUGAUAAAAAGGAUGAUGGCAAGACAGAUCCCAGUUCUACGGAGCCACCUGUGGUUUGGUCCACUUAUCCUUAUGUUUACAGCAGCGUACCUCACCAUCUCUAUCAAGCUAGAGACCCCUAUUAUGACUCCAACUGCACCAUCAUGUAAGAAAGCAGGACACAAGAAAUUUGGGAAUUUUAGGGUGACCGAUCUUUUUCCCAGUCAUACAUGGAAAAGUGAAGUUCAGGGGUGCUGCUAAAUUUUAGGCAUGGUCCUCCAGAGAACUGGAAUAAAGAUGAGAAUUCAAUCAUAAUAAGGUGAAGGGAAGAUACUUGGGUCCGUAGGGGGAGGACUCUCUUUCCUGGGGCUGGGGCUAAUAAACCAGUUGGAGCUAUUGCCUAGGUCUAAAUUUUGGCUUGUUUCAAGUAGUUGGUUGGUUUGUAUAUUCGGUGGUUGUAUUUGAGAUCCUAGGAACAAGUGUUUCGAUAACCAAUAUUUUGUUUCCAAUCAUAAAUAUAUUUUUUAAUUCACUUUUUUAUAUCACUUUAUUAUAUUUUCAAUCCAUCUUUCGUGCUAUUUUUUUAUAUCAUAAAAAAUAUUAGUAUAAUAAUUAUUUCGAAUAAUAUUUUAAUUAAUACUUUAUCCAAAUACUAAUAUCCGUGUGGUACCAUUUUUUUUCGCCCUUGUUUUGUAAGUUUGAUUUGUUUUUGCAGAGAGAAAGUUAAAGCAUAUUAGAUUUAUUUGCGUAAUUGAAUUAAUGAGAGAGUUUUUGACAUUCCAACGAGUUGAUCCUUAAUUAAUUAAGCUUCGUUUCUCAACCAUAGAAAUCAAGAUGGUAGUUUGUAGCACAUGGUUUAUGCAAGUUAUAUUGUACUUAAAACCUUGGGAUGCAACUGAAUCGAGCUGCUCGUUUGGAGUUGAUCAAGAUGAAUUCGAGUUCAAAAAUUUUUAGUUCGUUAGCUAGCGAUCCGACUCGAGUAUAUAUAUAUUAUUUUUUAUUUUAAUAGUAAAAUUACAUAUAUAUUUUUUAAUAUUUUAUUAUUUGUUACAAAAAUUAUUAUUUUAUCUAUUUUUAAAAAUAAAAAUAAUUAUUUUUAAUUUUUUAAUUUCGAAUUUGAACUUUACAUUGAGAGCUCAUCGAACUCGAAUUAGAGUUCGAGUUUCAUAAAAUUAAAUUGAGAUUCGACUCGACUCGGCUCGUUUGCACCCCUGCUUAAAGUCACGUCAAGGGGUUAUAUCCAUUCGGUAACGAAAUACUAAACAACAAUUUAACAGUAGUAUAAUUUGAUGUAUGAUAAGAUUAUGGAUGACUAUACGAAUAUGCUUCCUUGAACCAAAAAUAAAGAGAGUAAAUUAACAAACCUGCAGCCCAAUUCUUUAUCCAUCCACUAAGAAAGAUUAGGGCCUGCCUGACUCCUCUGAUGCCAAACUAGGAAGAGUCAAGAAAUCUUGACAAUGCUUUUCUUAGAUGGCAUCCAGGGAGCCAGGCAGACCAUUUCUGCCUGCAUUUAUUUGGAUGAUGUUGGUUUAGCUGAUAUCCUUCCUCAACAUUAUUGUUUUCUGCAUCGUGCAACACGUUCUAAUGAAAAAAGUCCUAUGGCUGUUAGUUGUUACACAAUCGAUUCAUAAAAUUCUGGAAUUUUCUUAAAUUUGACGAUAAAAUGUGCACCAAAGAAUUUUUUUUUUUUGGCCUUUCUUUCUUUUAAUGUUCCUACAUCAAAGUAGUCAUCAGUUCACAUAUUUUCCAAACAUAAGGAAAUGAAAUCAGAACUUUUGAUAAGUUACAUACACAACACGACCCGAUAUAGGGUUCACGGCAUAUUUUAUCUGAUUCCAAUGAAUGAAAGGUGAGACAGUACCUUCUAAAAAGACUUUUCUUUUACUCCUCCUUUUGUGUUCGAGAGAUUACCCCAUAUAUUAUUAUUUUUCCGUGUUGAAUUUUCCUUAGUCGAAGUAGUCAGCAGUUCGUAUAUUUUCCAAACAUGAUAUAAUCAUAUACUAGCUUCGCAAAAUCGAUCCUUCUGUUCUGUGCCUGGAUUAAGAUGUUGUUGGGUUCAAUUUCCUGCGGUUUUCUUGUUAGACAAAUUUCUGGGAUUGAGCUUGAACUCAUGUUUAUUUCAAUUGUUUCGCUUUUUUUUUUUUUUUUUUUUUUUUUUCUCUGCAAUAGUUCUUUUGUGGCCAGAACAUUCAAGACAUUAAUGCUUAAAAAGAUGUAAGAGGAAAACCUCCUCAACCUACAGCAAGUCAAAUUUGGUUUCCAUUGGAGGACUGCUCCUAAAUUUCACGCGUUCACGCUUCACACACAAAGUUGACGCGGUUGGGAGAAAGGACCCCGGCUAAAGUAGAACCGAAGGGUGUCAGAAUUUUCCAACUUGAUUUAGGCUCUGUUUGGAUUCAGAUUUUUUUGAAAAAUAAUUUUUUUAUCUACAAUGGUACAGUAAUACACAAAUAAAAAUAAUUUCAAAUACAUCAUAUCUAUACAAUAUAUAAAAAAUAACUCCAAAUAUACAAAAUAAAAUUACACAACUAUCCAUCACUCUCCACCAUCACGGCCACCACCCCCACACUCACGACUCUCUCUCCGCUCAUCUUUCCUCCGUCUCUCCUCCUUUUUUCCUCUUCCUCUAUCUCUUUCUCCUUCCUCCUUUCUUCUUUCCCUUUCCCCGCCCCCCAAUUUUCUUCUUCUCGACUGAUCGCACCCUUCUUAGUCACAAUCAAAUCUGAUUGCGACUGAAGCCGUGACCAAAACGAUCGUGGUUAGAAUGGUGACUAAAGUCGCAGCCACCACUAGCGAGCAAGAGAGGGGUUUGGAGUUGGGGGGAAGGAGGGGAGGGGGAGAAGGAAGAAGGGGGAAGGAGGAGGAGGAGGAGGCAAUAGAGGGGAAGAGGAGAGGAAGAGAAAGGAGAGAGGGGGAGGAAAAGGGAGGGGAUAAUGGUGGGUUGUGUAAAAUUAAAAAAAAUUCCAAAAAAAUUAUAAAUUAUAAAAAUAUUCAAAAAUAUAUUUUAAAAAUAUCUCUAAAAAUAAUUCAAAAAACAUCUACAGUAAAAGUUUUUCAUAUACACAACUACAUUAAAGUUUUUGAAAAAUACCUCAAAAAACAGUUAAUCCAAAGAGCCGAUUGUUUCAAAAAAUUGCACAACUUUUUGUUGAAUAUUGGCCCUAACUAAAAGCCAUUUAUUAAUUUUAAAGUGUUUCUUUGUUUUUUUUUUUUGGCUUUAAUCUUCAUAAAGAAACAAGGUAGCUGAUAAUUAAGAGUCCGUGGUGUAUAUCUAAUUUUUAAUUUUUUUUUUUGUAUAGAAACAAUUAAAAUUGUCCGUUUGAAUUGCUAUUUUUUUGCAUUUUUGUAAAAAAAAAAAAAAAAAAGGGUACUGUAACGAUUUGAUGUAUGUGAAACAAAAAUGUGAUUGAAAAAUGUAUUCUUAGAUAACGUAAAAUUUUUUUGAAUAUAAAUGGCAAUCCAAACAAAAACAAAAGUACUAUUGCUUAUUCACUCGUAUUAUGAAUAUCCGUUGUUGGAGGAGAGUGAUGAUUCAACAAAUUUUCACAUAUUGCGCCCUCUUCUGCAUCCUUCUCCCCUUUUGACCCAAAACUUUUGGGUAUAAGGUUCAUCAACUCUCUCUGAUUGAGUCCCAAACCCCUCGAAAAGGCCUAACACGAUAGUCUUCUAAUUCAUUUUCACUUCUUCAGCGAGUUUGAAAUUGAUUUACAACCUGCUAUAUUUGCUAUCCCAACCGACCUUUCGCCUAAUUCGGAUUGACUUGAGUUCAAGUAACUUGAUUUACUCAAAUACUCACUACUGUAUCUCAAGUUCUAUACUGUAAAAGCCUAUUUCAACAACUUAACUAGCAUCGAAUUCUAUUCAAUAAGGAAGGUUUACUCGGUCGUCACAAAAGUCUGGACGAGUUUCUGAUGCGACCAGCCCCACUGGAAUACCGAGCCGUGUUUCAGGCUACUUGGUGCAUAUCGUCCCAAGUUCCACCUUCUAGGUGAUAGCACUGAAGAUGACCUUUUCUGGGUCUAUGGAACUGAUCAUUGACCGUCAACGGCAAUAUAAUAUUUUUUUAGACGAUAAUUAUUGUAUAAUUUAUUUUAUUUUAUAUUAAAAAGAUCGGAUGAAUCUGAAAAAAUUCAAAAAUAAUUCGAAAGACAUCGAAUCACCACAAAAUCGAAACAGAUGCACCACACAUUCAUCUAAAUUUUUAAGCAGAGCUAUAUAAUAUAAUAAUUAAAGAGAAAAGAUUUAAAUAAUUGGCUUCCCAACCCACCAAGCUUGAAUGCCAAAGGCUGGUCGUUGGCACGAUAUUGUCAUUGUGGGUCAUCUUAUUUAGUGAUGUUUCUUUGUAUCUUCUGAAGCUGUCGUCAUCUAAGCAAAGGGCCCUAUAAAUAGGUAGAGCGGCAGUUGACUAGCACGGCAGAAUAACCCAUUCUAAGGCCGAAAGAAGAACGACUUCUGCAGUCUCUUUUCUCAGCUAGAGCUGUUCAUUUUUUUUUCAGUCGUUUUACUUGCGGAAUUAAGGCAAUGAAGGUGAUGCUCUGAUUCAUUUAUUUAACUUAAUCUUGUGCCUUGUCUGGCAAAAGAUAUGUAGCUAACUAAUUUCAAUUUGGUUCCUUGAUUUUGUUACCUGCAGCAAAAAGUCGUGAUUAAACUUUCUAUGAAUGAUGAGAAGUCCCGCAAGAAGGCCUUCAAAACUGUUGUCGGUCACGCAGGUAAAGAAGAAAGUUCAAUUUUUCAAGAAUUAGAUUCCGCAAAAUACGUGAUAAAACUGAUUCUAUUACCUUAGUUCUUGAGAUUCUAAGAAAGAAUUCGGCUGAGAUUCUUAUACAGAUUCUGACCAUCAUUCCUCUGCUUUAUCUUCAGGUGUGGAAUCUACGGCUUUGCAGGGAAAGGAAAAGGAUCAAAUAGAGGUUGUUGGAGAUGGGAUUGAUGCAGUGAAGCUUGCAACUUUGCUCAGAAAAAAUGUUGGGUAUGCAGAGCUUGUGACCGUGAGCCCAGUUGGUGAGAAGAAAGAUGGUGAUAAAAAAGAAGAUGGCAAGAAAGAUCCCAGUUCUACACAGCCACCUGUGGUUUGGUCCACUCAUCCUUAUGUUUACAGCAGCGUACCUCACCAUCUCUAUCAAGUUAGAGACCCCUAUGAUGACUCCAACUGCACCAUCAUGUAAGAAUGCAGGUCAC